UCUGGAGCUUCACCCUUUGCCAGUGCAGCCUGGAUCAGUCCAUGGCAGCUGGUGGGGCUGUGCUUCCACCCCUGGGGCAGUCGGUUCCAGGUGUACUGCACGCCCCUCCAGGUGAAAGCAAACUGAGGCCUGCAUUCUGCUGCCAGAGGAAUGAAGCAAAGCGCGUUAGCAAUGUCAGCAGUGGCGUACCACUGUGCUGCCUUGGACUCCAGCUCGUACUGGAGCUCCAGCAUGUCGGGCACAGCAGCGCUCAGCGGUGGAGUCACUUCAUUCAAGGCAUGAUAGUCCACAAUCUCCAUUCUCUGUCAACUUGUGCACAGGCCAAGAGGGGCUGCUGAAGGGUGAGUGGGUUUUGCUGAUCACCCCUUGGCUCUCCAGCUCACGGAUCAUUCUGUGGAUGGGAUCACGGCAUCCCGAUUCGUUCAAUACUGCCGGCGGUGCACUGUCGAGGUGGCAAUUGGCACUCGUUGCUCUUCCACCCUCAGGAGUCCUACUGCAGAUGGGUUCUCUGAUAGUCCAGGCAAGGUGUUCAACUGCUUCAUGUCCUCUGCCUCUCCAGCAGCUAUGCCAAAAGCCCACCUGAGUCCCUUUGGGUCUUUGUAGUAGCCAUUCCGGAGGAAGUCUAUGCCCAGAAUACACGGGGCCUCUGGGCCGGUCACAAUGGGAUGUUUCUGCCACUCCUUCCCAGUCAGGCUCACCUCGGCUCCCAACAGGGUCAGUUGCUGUGAUCGAUCCCCCCGUCAGCCCGGCAAUGGAAACAGGUUCUGCCCCCACAUGUCCCCAUGGUAUCAGGGCACACUGCGCACCAGUAUCAGCUAAGGUUUCAUAUUUCUGUGGCUCUGAUGUGCCAGGCCACCGGAUCUGCACUGACCAGAGAUCCGGUUUUCCCAUGCCUCUCCCUGGCUCCAGGCAGGGCCCCUCUAGCCCUGGUUCCCAUUUCUUCCCUGGGCCAUACAUACUAGAGGCUCCUUCAAGGGGAUCUGACAGAUCAUACCCGGCAGCUCGGUCACGGGAGGCUGAGGCUGCCUUCACCUUAGUGGAAUUCUCUCAGUUAGUGUUUCCCUGCUUGCGUAGACACAGCCAUGCUACCAGGACAGAAGUGAGCUGAUGAACUUUGGACCUGAUUAGCAUAAAAGAUUUGCUAGUCAGAAUGCCUUGGCAAGAAGAAACAGAGCUUUGAAGACUGCAAGAAGACUGAAUCAAGAAAGAAGAUUGAAUCAACUUCUAUGAGCAAAACAUAUUGCAAAUUGGAUAAGUUUGUUUAUGUGUUGAUUCACCCAAUCAUUGUAGUAAAAAAUUACUAGUCUUCCAAGAAUUGUGUAUAAGCAUGUGUAGUCCAUGUGAAAAACAUGUUCACUCUCCUGUGAAAAUGUAAAAAGUUUAAUAAAGGACAAUGGGAGACAAGGACCACAGAGCAAAGGUUAUUUAUGGCCGGGUGCAUCUUGGCACUCAGCCAAGAGCACCCUGUUACCUUCAGGGAUCCCCCUUAAAUACCUUUUCCCUCACAUCCACCUGUUGCAUAUUCACAGCCCCUUAUGCAUAUCCAUAGCCUAGUUUACAUUUUCCAGGAACUAUUUUACAUGGCCCCUCCUUGGGUCCCCCUUUUCAGAGCAUGCGUGUUUCCUGGCUGGGGUUUGGCUCCUUCUCUUUAUCACUUCCAGUUCGGGCCUUGGUCCACACUGCCUUCAGACGGUGAGUGCUGAUCCUUGGCAGAGCUGUAGCAGGUGUCCUCAUCCUGUGUUCAUUGGAUGUUAUCCCAUCCAAGCAGGCAUUUUAACACAAGCAGACUUCUAUCAGCUAUUGCACUACUAUGUCUAAGCUUAAUUAACAACAAAAUUAGAAACUUUAUCUUUGGAACAAAGUUACUUGAACAUCACACAUAUAAAAUCCACUUUGAUAUUUGCAAAAGCCAAUAUUAUAAUAUGUAGCUAUAACACUCCUCUCCUGCAAGGAAAGGCUGAGACAGCUCGGCUUCUUCAGCCUGGGCAAGAGACUGAGACUUGAUCCAACUGUGGCCUUCCAGGACCUGAGGGCAACCUACAAGAAAGCUGGACAGGGGCUUUGUGUGAGGGCAGGCAAGGACAGGACAAGGGAGAAUGGAUCCAAAUGGAAAGAGAGUCGGUUUAGGUGAGGGAUUCAGAAAAAAGACUCUCCUGGAACAGCUUGCCCAGAGAAGGUGUGGCUGUCCCGUCCCUGACAGUGCUCAAGGCCAGGCUGCACGGAGCUCUAGACAAGCCGGGCUAGUGCAAGGGGUGCCCAGCCACAGCAGGGGGGUUGCAGCUGUGUGAUUUUUCAGAUCCCUUCCGAGCCAAACCAUGCCACGACUCCAUGAUUCUGGGAUACUUCCCCUCCUCAUCCUCUGGCAGAAAAACAAACUUGGCCCCAAGUUCCACAUUGCAGACCAUGUCCUUUGGCAGCCUGCAACUGUCUCAACAGAGGAUGGAAAGAGAUGACAUUACUGAGACAAUUUCCCUUUUCUACUUGAACAUUAAAUGCUGCACUCCUGUCCAAAAACUUCUGUCAGAAAUUGUCAGAAGAGGCAAUUCUUCCCCAUGAAAUGCUACACCUCAGCCAAAAAAAGAAAGAAGCCACAAGCCAAGACUCUUCUUUAUUGCUACAUUGUUUGAUUUGGUUACUUCUCUAAUAGGAAUUCCUUUGGGGUUUUAUUUGUUUGUUUCUUUCUUUCGUUCCGCGGGGCGAGCGGCGGCUCCUCCGUUGGGUUCGCGGAGGCAACGGAGGAACGUUCGCGAGCUGCGGCGGUUCCGCAGCAGCAGCAGCAGCAGCAGCAGCAGCAGCAGCAGCAGCAGCAGCAGCAGCAGCAGCGCUUCUCUCGAUCGGUUUUCCGCUCGACUUUCCACUCGCUCCCCAUCCCCUUCUCCCUCUCACACUCACUCUACUCCCGUCCCAUCCCGUCUGUGUCCCGCCUCUCCCAGCCCGGCUGAUGCCGGAGUACAGCCCACCGGAGUGGAUCCUCUUUGGCUGCUACCAUGGCCAGCCAGCCACCAUCUGGUCCCUGGGCAUCCUGCUCUAUGACCUGCUCUGUGGGCACCUUCCUUUCCACACAAACGAGGACAUCGUCCGGGGCCAGCUCUUCUUCCCGCCCCGGGUGUCUCAAGAGUGCCAGCACCUCAUCAGGUGGUGUUUAUCCAUGGACCCCACAGACAGGCCAUCACUGGAAGACCUUUUUGAGCAUUCUUGGCUGCAGGAGCCCUGCCUGGCCCAGGAGACAGCAGAGAUCCAUCCCUGUGCUCAGUAGGAUCCAGGAGCCCAGCAAGUACCAGCUGCACGCGUCUGGUGGGACUCCAAGAAAACCCCAGAGCGUUUCCCUGCGGCCGCGGCACGGAGGAGAGAGCGCAGCCGAGGAGAUGCUUCCGCUGGUCCCCGGCGAGUUGUGGAGGGAGCGGCUCAGUGCUCCCCGUGCCACUGGAGAAGUGGUGGCAGUGCGGUGAAGGUGCCACGGACUGGAACAGGGGAAACAUCCCCCUGCAGCUCAAUGGCAUCAGGAUGUCCCCGCAAGCCGAGGCACAGCUGGCGUGUUCUUCUGGUGCACCACGUGGAGCUGGGAACACCAUCCUGGAGCUGGCCGCUGGCGGGGCAAAGCCGAGCGGCUUUGGCUGCGGCCCCUUCCUGGAGGACACGCUCUGCGCCCCGAUGAAAUCAAGAUGAGUCCCCAGCCGGCGCAGGGGCGGGGGGAUGCUCGUGCUUCCAGGCAUGGCAGGGCUCGGCCUGGCCACGCGCCGCAGGUUCCCCGCUCGGCGGCGCUGGGGAAUAUUAAUUUUUUCCCAUGGCUGCCGAGCUGCUUUUUGGUGGGACAGGGGACGGAUGUUGUGGAAGGGGAGCCAGCUCCUGGCCUUGCUGACAGCUUCUGCCAGCCAGCCUGGCACGGGCUGGGGCGGGGACAGCCAGCCUGACAAAACAUCCAUCCAUGUGGAUGGGGGCAGCAGAGGGGGACGGGUUCCGAAGCCGUGCCCCAGCUGGUCUGCUUUGCAGGCCCUCGAGGAAGGGGUGCGUUUACGGGUGGGAAAGGUGGGGUUUUUCCCCACCCAUGGACAGGUUUCAUUCUCGCAUGGAGUGCUCAGACCCUCCUCAGGCCCGUGAAACAGUGACAGGCUGUGUAGGUUUUUCUUGUUUCCAGGUCUUGUUUUGAAUUGACUUUUAUGCAAUUGUUCUUUAUUUUCCCAGGAAGAUUACACCUGGUGCUCGGACUGCAUGGGGAAGCGCCUGCACCGUCCGUGGAGCACAUCCAGUGCCAGUGCUACCCCAGGGGCCACGGCCUGCAGGGACAUCCCCUUCAAGAAGGACGAGGACCUCGUGCGGGAUCGGCUCCUCUCCUGGCAGCAGGUCUGCAGAGGCUGCCAGCACCUCAUGCCAUGGAAACGGCUCCGCUCGGCCUGCCAGGCUGGGAGGGCUGGAGGGCGGCGGGUGUUCAUUUGCUGUCAGAAAUAAAUCGUUCUAUUUUUUUGUCA